rnacentral:rRNA from 1 species
UGACCUCAAAUCAGGUAGGGAUACCCGCUGAACUUAAGCAUAUCAAAUAAGCGGAAGGAA